CGUCCUACGGGAGGCAGCAGUGAGGAAUAUUGGUCAAUGGGCGGAAGCCCGAACCAGCCAAGUCACGUGAGGGAAUAAGGCCCUACGGGUCGUAAACCUCUUUUGCCGGGGAGCAAGGGCGGGGACGUGUCCCGGCCCGGAGAGUACCCGGAGAAAAAGCAUCGGCUAACUCCGUGCCAGCAGCCGCGGUAAUACGGAGGAUGCGAGCGUUAUCCGGAUUUAUUGGGUUUAAAGGGUGCGUAGGCGGACUGUUACGUCAGCGGUAAAAGCCCGGGGCUCAACCCCGGCGCGCCGCUGAAACGGGG
rnacentral:rRNA from 1 species